UAGCUGCCUUAAAACGCUGGGAUUGACUUAAACAACCUACCAGAGGUGAAUGAGUUAUUUGAUGAAGACAACCCAAUCUCAAAUCCUUUUGCUGGUAUUGACCAAGAGUAUCUCCAAUAUGAAUACUACAAGAAGGAGUUUAAUCUUGUGGAACCACAAAAGAUUGUUCUUGGAAAAUACCACACAAAGAAAAGAAGAGGAAAUAGAUUGAGAGAUGUCGAAAAAACAGAUGAUGCAUACUAUAUUCCCUUGUUGGAAAGUCUGCAACAGCUUCUUAAUGAUGAGUCAAUUCUUAACGAGGUGGAAAAUCCUCAUUUUUGCAACAGUGAUUUUUUGUCUGAUUAUUGUGAUGGUGAAGGCUUUAAAGAGCACCCACUAUUCAGUAAAGAUCCCUUGGCAUUGCAACUUCUUAUUUAUUUUGAUGAAGUAGAAGUUUGUAACCCAUUAGGAUCAAGAGCUAACAAACAUA